UACGUAGGGUGCGAGCGUUGUCCGGAAUUAUUGGGCGUAAAGGGCUCGUAGGCGGUCUGUCACGUCAGGAGUGAAAACUCGGGGCUCAACCCCGAGCCUGCUUCUGAUACGGGCAGACUAGAGGUAUGCAGGGGAGAACGGAAUUCCUGGUGUAGCGGUGAAAUGCGCAGAUAUCAGGAGGAACACCGGUGGCGAAGGCGGUUCUCUGGGCCUUACCUGACGCUGAGGAGCGAAAGCGUGGGGAGCGAACAGG
rnacentral:rRNA from 1 species